rnacentral:siRNA from 1 species
GUACUAGGAUGGGUGACCUCCCG